rnacentral:rRNA from 1 species
AUUGAACGCUGGCGGCAGGCUUAACACAUGCAAGUCGAGCGGGGUGAGGUGCUUCGGUACUGAUCCUAGCGGCGGACGGGUGCGUAAUGCUUAGGAAUCUGCCAUUUAGUGGGGGACAACAUUCCGAUAGGGAUGCUAAUACCACAUACGUCCCACGGGAGAAAGCAGGGGAUCUUCGGCCCUUGCGCUAAGCGAUGAGCGUAAGUCGGAUUAGCUAGUUGGUGGGGUAAAGGCCUACCAAGGCGACGAUCUGUAGCGGGUCUGAGAGGAUGAGCCGCCACACUGGGACUGAGACGCGGCCCAGACUCCUACGGGAGGCAGCAGUGGGGAAUAUUGGACAAUGGGCGGAAGCCUGAUCCAGCCAUGCCGCGUGCGUGAAGAAGGCCUUUUGGUUGUAAAGCACUUUAAGCGAGGAGGAGGCUACCUGGAUUAAUACUCUGGGAUAGUGGACGUUACUCGCAGAAUAAGCACCGGCUAACUCUGUGCCAGCCGCCGCAGUAACAC